GUAAGGAGACAGGUUAGGAGGUAAGGAGACAGGUUAGGAGGUAAGGAGACAGGUUAGGAGGUAAGGAGACAGGUAAGGAGACAGGUAAGGAGACAGGUCAGGAGACAGGUAAGGAGGUAAGGAGACAGGUAAGGAGACAGGUAAGGAGACAGGUAAGGGGGUAAGGAGACAGGUAAGUAGGUAAGGAGACAGGUGAGGAGGUAAGGAGAGAGGUAAGGAGGUAAGGAGACAGGUAAGGAGACAGGUAAGGGGGUAAGGAGACAGGUAAGUAGGUAAGGAGACAGGUGAGGAGGUAAGGAGAGAGGUAAGUAGGUAAGGAGACAGGUAAGGAGAGAGGUAAGGAGGUAAGGAGACAGGUAAGGAGGUAAGGAGACAGGUAAGGAGACAGGUAAGGAGACAGGUAAGGAGACAGGUAAGGAGACAGGUAAGGAGACAGGUAAGGAGACAGGUAAGGAGGUAAGGAGACAGGUAAGGAGACAGGUGAGGAGACAGGUCAGGGGGAAACAGUGAAACAAGGCGUACCAUCUGGCACAGUCCCACCACCUCUCACACAACACCACUGAAUUAUACACAAUCACAUUAGUGGAAACAAAGGCUGUUCUCAGGUAGAGGAGGAGGGAGAGGAGAGAGAGGAGGGGGAGAG
rnacentral:lncRNA from 1 species